UUGAUUGAUGGUGCUUGCACCUGAUUGAUUUUGGUCGCCAACGAGUGGCGGACGGGUGAGUAACACGUAGGUAACCUGCCCAGAAGCGGGGGACAACAUUUGGAAACAGAUGCUAAUACCGCAUAACAGCGUUGUUCGCAUGAACAACGCUUAAAAGAUGGCUUCUCGCUAUCACUUCUGGAUGGACCUGCGGUGCAUUAGCUUGUUGGUGGGGUAAUGGCCUACCAAGGCGAUGAUGCAUAGCCGAGUUGAGAGACUGAUCGGCCACAAUGGGACUGAGACACGGCCCAUACUCCUACGGGAGGCAGCAGUAGGGAAUCUUCCACAAUGGGCGCAAGCCUGAUGGAGCAACACCGCGUGAGUGAAGAAGGGUUUCGGCUCGUAAAGCUCUGUUGUUAAAGAAGAACACGUAUGAGAGUAACUGUUCAUACGUUGACGGUAUUUAACCAGAAAGUCACGGCUAACUACGUGCCAGCAGCCGCGGUAAUACGUAGGUGGCAAGCGUUAUCCGGAUUUAUUGGGCGUAAAGAGAGUGCAGGCGGUUUUCUAAGUCUGAUGUGAAAGCCUUCGGCUUAACCGGAGAAGUGCAUCGGAAACUGGAUAACUUGAGUGCAGAAGAGGGUAGUGGAACUCCAUGUGUAGCGGUGGAAUGCGUAGAUAUAUGGAAGAACACCAGUGGCGAAGGCGGCUACCUGGUCUGCAACUGACGCUGAGACUCGAAAGCAUGGGUAGCGAACAGGAUUAGAUACCCUGGUAGUCCAUGCCGUAAACGAUGAGUGCUAGGUGUUGGAGGGUUUCCGCCCUUCAGUGCCGGAGCUAACGCAUUAAGCACUCCGCCUGGGGAGUACGACCGCAAGGUUGAAACUCAAAGGAAUUGACGGGGGCCCGCACAAGCGGUGGAGCAUGUGGUUUAAUUCGAAGCUACGCGAAGAACCUUACCAGGUCUUGACAUCUUGCGCCAACCCUAGAGAUAGGGCGUUUCCUUCGGGAACGCAAUGACAGGUGGUGCAUGGUCGUCGUCAGCUCGUGUCGUGAGAUGUUGGGUUAAGUCCCGCAACGAGCGCAACCCUUGUUACUAGUUGCCAGCAUUAAGUUGGGCACUCUAGUGAGACUGCCGGUGACAAACCGGAGGAAGGUGGGGACGACGUCAGAUCAUCAUGCCCCUUAUGACCUGGGCUACACACGUGCUACAAUGGACGGUACAACGAGUCGCGAACUCGCGAGGGCAAGCAAAUCUCUUAAAACCGUUCUCAGUUCGGACUGCAGGCUGCAACUCGCCUGCACGAAGUCGGAAUCGCUAGUAAUCGCGGAUCAGCAUGCCGCGGUGAAUACGUUCCCGGGCCUUGUACACACCGCCCGUCACACCAUGAGAGUUUGUAACACCCAAAGUCGGUGGGGUAA
rnacentral:rRNA from 2 species